AGAGGGGUGUGGGCUCUUUGUGCGUGGAGAGUCUACACGAGAAACUUUUUCUCGUGUAGAGCAAGGGGCGCACAAAUAGAUAAGGUGGCGCAUGGGUUAGUUGCCCAUUCAAAUUCAAACAUCAUUUGAAUUUGAAUGGCCAACCAACCAAUAUUUAUCCACCCAAAUGGCGCACAAGGGAGGGUGUGGGAAGGCUUCUGCAUAAGAGAAAAUUCACAAGAACUUGUUUCUCAUGAAUUCAAGUAUGCGCAGGUGGGUGAGGUGGCGUAGGGAGACAAGUCAAAGGUGGUUUGAAAUUUU
rnacentral:lncRNA from 1 species